rnacentral:lncRNA from 1 species
CUAACCCUUUGCCUCUUGGAAGAAUCCGCCAUUUCAAAUUUCAAUUGGUGGAAAUUGAAGAGAAUGGAGAGUAGAAUGUGAAAAUGUUGUUUAAAAGUGGAAAAAGUAGGAAAAGAUGUGAUUUUGGAGCUUUCUAAGGUGCUGCAAUGGAGGUUUUGGGCGCUGCUGUGCGAAAUAGGGUUUGGGUGUGCGUUAUGAGAGAGAAAAAGUUGAUUUUAUAGGGUAGGGUUGCGCUCGUAAUCGAUUACGGGAAUGCUGUAAUCGAUUACGGGGGGGCCCUGGUAAUCGAUUACAGGGUGAGGGUAAUCGAUUACCAGGGCCUGUAGUAGUGGGAUGACAUAAAGGCUCUGGUAAUUGAUUACAGUGUCUC